CACAGGUGCUGCAUGGCUGUCGUCAGCUCGUGUGUGUAUGUUGGGUUAAUCCCCGCAACGAGCGCACCCUUUGUCUUUAUUGCUACAUAAAGGGCACUCACUCAAAGACUGCUGGUGACAAACCGGAGGAAGGGGGGUGAUGAAUGACAAUUCCUCCCGGCCCUUAUGGGUAGGGCUUCCCUCGUCAUACAAUGGUGCAUACAUAAGGGUUGCCAACCCACCCGGGGGGGGGAAUCCCACAAAAAAAAUGUAUCUCCGGAUCGAUCUCUGCAUCUCAACUACCUGAAUGAAGAAUCAAUC
rnacentral:rRNA from 1 species